rnacentral:rRNA from 1 species
GAUGAACGCUGGCGGCGUGCCUAAUACAUGCAAGUCGAGCGAACAGACGAGGAGCUUGCUCCUCUGACGUUAGCGGCGGACGGGUGAGUAACACGUGGAUAACCUACCUAUAAGACUGGGAUAACUUCGGGAAGCCGGAGCUAAUACCGGAUAAUAUAUUGAACCGCAUGGUUCAAUAGUGAAAGACGGUUUUGCUGUCACUUAUAGAUGGAUCCGCGCCGCAUUAGCUAGUUGGUAAGGUAACGGCUUACCAAGGCGACGAUGCGUAGCCGACCUGAGAGGGUGAUCGGCCACACUGGAACUGAGACACGGUCCAGACUCCUACGGGAGGCAGCAGUAGGGAAUCUUCCGCAAUGGGCGAAAGCCUGACGGAGCAACGCCGCGUGAGUGAUGAAGGUCUUCGGAUCGUAAAACUCUGUUAUUAGGGAAGAACAAAUGUGUAAGUAACUAUGCACGUCUUGACGGUACCUAAUCAGAAAGCCACGGCUAACUACGU